ACCUGGCUCAGGACGAACGCUGGCGGCGUGCCUAAUACAUGCAAGUCGAGCGGACAGAUGGGAGCUUGCUCCCUGAUGUUAGCGGCGGACGGGUGAGUAACACGUGGGUAACCUGCCUGUAAGACUGGGAUAACUCCGGGAAACCGGGGCUAAUACCGGAUGGUUGUCUGAACCGCAUGGUUCAGACAUAAAAGGUGGCUUCGGCUACCACUUACAGAUGGACCCGCGGCGCAUUAGCUAGUUGGUGAGGUAACGGCUCACCAAGGCGACGAUGCGUAGCCGACCUGAGAGGGUGAUCGGCCACACUGGGACUGAGACACGGCCCAGACUCCUACGGGAGGCAGCAGUAGGGAAUCUUCCGCAAUGGACGAAAGUCUGACGGAGCAACGCCGCGUGAGUGAUGAAGGUUUUCGGAUCGUAAAGCUCUGUUGUUAGGGAAGAACAAGUGCCGUUCAAAUAGGGCGGCACCUUGACGGUACCUAACCAGAAAGCCACGGCUAACUACGUGCCAGCAGCCGCGGUAAUACGUAGGUGGCAAGCGUUGUCCGGAAUUAUUGGGCGUAAAGGGCUCGCAGGCGGUUUCUUAAGUCUGAUGUGAAAGCCCCCGGCUCAACCGGGGAGGGUCAUUGGAAACUGGGGAACUUGAGUGCAGAAGAGGAGAGUGGAAUUCCACGUGUAGCGGUGAAAUGCGUAGAGAUGUGGAGGAACACCAGUGGCGAAGGCGACUCUCUGGUCUGUAACUGACGCUGAGAGCGAAG
rnacentral:rRNA from 1 species